rnacentral:rRNA from 1 species
CUUGGUCAUUUAGAGGAAGUAAAAGUCGUAACAAGGUUUCCGUAGGUGAACCUGCGGAAGGAUCAUUAAAAAAAGAGAAACGUCCCGUUUUUUUUCAUAAGAAUGGGUUCUAUUCCCUUAAACCGUGUCUACAUACCUUUGUUGCUUUGGCAGGCCGCCUUCGGGCGUCGGCUCCGGCUGAUAGUGCCUGCCAGAGGACCCAAACUCUAUGUUUAGUGAUGUCUGAGUACUAUAUAAUAUUUAAAACUUUCAACAACGGAUCUCUUGGUUCUGGCAUCGAUGAAGAACGCAGCGAAACGCGAUAAGUAAUGUGAAUUGCAGAAUUCAGUGAAUCAUCGAAUCUUUGAACGCACAUUGCGCCCCUUGGUAUUCCGAGGGGCAUGCCUGUUCGAGCGUCAUUAUAACCACUCAAGCCUGGCUUGGUAUUGGGGUUUUCGCGUGUUCGCGGCCCUUAAAAUCAGUGGCGGUGCCGUCUGGCUCUAAGCGUAGUAAUUUCUCUCGCUAUAGGGUUCCGGUGGUUACUUGCCAAAACCCCCCUAUUUUUUCUAGGUUGACCUCGGAUCAGGUAGGGAUACCCGCUGAACUUAAGCAUAUCAAUAAGCGGAGGA